rnacentral:rRNA from 1 species
AUACGUAGGGGGCAAGCGUUGUCCGGAAUUAUUGGGCGUAAAGCGCGCGCAGGCGGCAGCUUAAGUCUCAUGUUUAAACCCGGGGCUCAACUUCGGGUCGCAUGGGAAACUGGGUUGCUUGAGUGCAGGAGAGGAAAGCGGAAUUCCACGUGUAGCGGUGAAAUGCGUAGAGAUGUGGAGGAACACCAGUGGCGAAGGCGGCUUUCUGGUCUGUAACUGACGCUGAGGCGCGAAAGCGCGGGGAGCAAACAGGAUUAGAUACCCUGGUAGUCCACGCCGUAAACGAUGAAUGCUAGGUGUCAGGGGUUUCGAUACCCUUGGUGCCGAAGUAAACACAUUAAGCAUUCCGCCUGGGGAGUACGUUCGCAAGAAUGAA